rnacentral:lncRNA from 1 species
GAGAGCGCCACCAAAAACAGCAAGGGUCCCAAGACUGUGCCCUGUGGCACCCCGCUUGCUAUUGGUGUCUUUCCCGAGAGGGCUCCAUUGGCUGCAACCAUCUGGCUUCUGUCCUUCAGGAAGUCAUGUAUCCACUCACCUACUUUUCCUGUUAUGCCGAGUCUGAGUAAUUUGUGACAUAUCACUCCGUGGUCGACUUUGUCAAAGGCCUUCGCAAAGUCGAGAUAUACCACAUCCACCUGUGAGCGAUCCAGUAGUUGUUUCAGUACCCAGUCGUAGUGUUGUAACAGCUGCGUAAGGCAGCUUCUUCCUGGGCGAAAGCCAUGCUGUGUGUCAGUGAGACGGUUAGUUUCUUCGAGGAACGUGAUCAGUUUUUUUCUGAUGAUUCGUUCCAUGACCUUACUUAUGUGUGACGUCAGGGAGACUGGCCUGUAGUUUUUGGCCUCUGCUCUACUCCCUCCUUUGUGGAUAGGGCAUAUGGUGCCUUCUUUUAGCGCCCUGGGCAGUUUACCGUUAGCCAAGGAACCACUGAAGAGCUUCUUCAGUGGUCCCGCUAGGGCAUGCCUGCAUGUUUUUAGGAGGACUGCUGGGAAUCCAUCUGGUCCAGCAGCUGAGUUUAUUCUCAUUUCUUCUAUGGCAGAUAUUACAUCCCUCUCUGUUAUGUCUAUGUGGUCGAUGGUUGUUGUUUGGUUUUGGAGUGUUGUGGCAUCAAAGAAAACUUCUGGGUUUGUGAUUUGCAUGUGCCCCAGAGGGGAUGUGAACACACUUUUAUACUGUUCCUUUAGUAUUUCACUUAUCCCUUGGGGGUCCUCAGUUAGAGAGCCCUUUUUAUCAAAGAGUGGGCCAAUCUUGCAGUGUACCGAGGUGGUUUCUUUCGCAAAUUUAAAGAAGGCUUUAGGGUUUGUUUUAAUAUUCUCUAUGGCCCUGGCUUCUCUCUCUGUCCUCUCCUUCUCAUAGGAAAGUUUGAGUGCAGUUUCCGUUUCAAAAAGUUUCAGGUGGAGUCCCUCAUUGUUUCUCUGCCGUGCAUUCAGUUGCUUCGAGAGCUUAGCUCUUCGCCUCAUAAGUAUUUUCCUGUCUCUGGGAAUAACGUUCCUAUGCCCGCUGGCUUUUUUCUCCGGGACAAACUUAUGGCAUAUGUUCUGUAUUGUUGUCAUGAAAUGUUGGAAAUGUGUGUUGGUGUCUUGUGUGGUGAUGAAGUCACUCCAGUCAUGUUUUCGGAUCUCUUCGUUGAUCUUCUUCCAGUUUGCCUUAUGGAAGUUUAGACUGGAUAGGCCUGUGGUAUUUUCUAAUGGCUGCGUCUCAACUAACUCUCUCAUACCAUAUAUCAUUACCUCUACUAAGUUGUGAUCUGAGAGAAUUGUUGGUGUUACCAUUAUGUUGUGGAUGAGCAUCGGGUUGCUUGUGAAACAGAGGUCCAAGACAUUCUCACCUCUUGUUGGCCAAAGCACUGCUUGCUCCAUGAAAAACUUGCGUGUGAGAGCCAACAAGGACUCUGUCUGUCUCUGUUCAAGUGAUGUCAUUCCAGGGAGGAGAUGGCCAUCUGGCCAUUUGACUUUCGGAAGGUUAAAAUCUCCCAGCAGUAGAAUGGUGUUACCCUGGUCCAGUUUGUCCAGGACUUCUUCUAUUCUUCUGAGGCUAUCUUCAAACACUCCUUCAUGACUAGGGGUGUCUGGUGGCCGAUAUGUGACACAUAUUACUAUUUUCGGUUGUUUCAUGUGUACUAUCAGUGUGUCACAGACUGAGUUUGAGUGUGUCAAUAGUACUAUGGGUGUGACAUCUUCACGGACGUACAGGGCAACCCCACCAUGAGUUCUUUCCUUCCUGUCCGACCGAAAAACAGUAUACUUCGGUAUGUGUAUUUCUGCAUCUGCUAUACUGCUUGACAGGUGCGUUUCAGUCAGCGCUAUGCAUAUUGCAUGGUUGCUUGUGCUCAAGUCCCGAAGGUAAGGAAUUUUACCCAUAUUAGUGGGUUUCACCAGACCUCUGACAUUCAGCAGAAGCACUGGUGAGACACCCGGGGUGUCAAUAAAGGCUGACGGUGUGGCACCUGGGCCGGCGUCAGCGGUGGCCACCCUGGGUCCCUUGAUUGUGGUGGUCUUGAGUGCUGUUGUGAGUGCCCCUGGCUCUGAAGACGAUGUAUCCAGGCCAGUUGUCCCACAAUUUUCUCUGCCAUUUCCACAAAAUUUCUUUGUUCUGCUGCCGCCGUCUGCAUUUCCUCUGCAAAUGUGCGCCUUCUCCUUGUUGGGGCAUUACGCACUAUGUCUGCAUAUUUCUGGGGCAGCUUGUAUUUGUUCUGGUUUUGGUUAAGGCAUUUUGGUCGAGUGGGUUUGAUGCAAUUUCCAUAGGGCCUGGGAUGAGCGAACCUGCAUCCUUCCCCUGUUUCUCCAUGCCAGCAGGUUCCAUUCCGGAAGAAUUUGCAUGUUAUCUGGGUUUUCUUGUCCCCAGUUCCUCUCUGUUUUUUCUUCCUCCGUUGGACGGUUGUCCACUGGUUCCUUUCUGCAUAGGUCUUUUCAUCCGGGUGGUUAUUUUCUGUUUCCCCAUCGCCGCCUAUCUGUUGUUUGCCCUGCUUGCCUUCUUCGACUGUGGCAGUGGGCGUGUCAUUUUUUGACACUCUGUGGUUGGUGUUUCCUGUUUCCAUCUCUCUCUUUUGUCUUUGUCCACCUUGAGGACUUGGCUUAGCAAAGCCAUGUGUGGUGCAAUGAGAGUGUAGGCCCUUUCGACUUCUCUUUUCUUCCUCUCUACUUGCGCCAACGUCCUCAUAAAGCCAUGGCUUUUCAGGGUCGCCGCUAUGUUUUUAGUUGGUUGCGAUCUGUCGGCCGAGCUCCAUCCUCUGAUGAAAACUUCCAGCUCUACUUUCGUCCAGUUACGCUGGCUUUUGUUGACGCCAGUGUUUGCAUUCACCUCUAAUUUUUGCAUGUUGUCCAUUCCGUUGUAGCGGGGAGAGAGAGAAGCUGUGAGGGAAAAAGGGAGAAGGGAGGAGAGAGGAAGAGAUUGUGAUUGUGAGGAAGGGAGGAAUUAUAUUAUAUUAUAUUAAUUUAUAUUAAUCUAAUAGUGCAAUAGGGGGUAGGGAGAAAGUAGAGAAAGGGAGCGUCUAUGUACUUAAGGAGAAAUUGGGAGCCGAGAGUAAGAGAGAAGAGGAAGAGGAGAGACUGAGAGCUGAAGGAAGAGAGAGAAAGCGUCUAUGUCCUUAUAUGUAUCCGAGAGAGGAGAGUAAGUUAGAAGAGAAAGGGAGCGUCUAUGUACUUAAGGAGAAAUUGGGAGCCGAGAGUAAGAGAGAAGAGGAAGAGGAGAGACCGAGAGCUGAAGGAAGAGAGAGAAAGCGUCUAUGUCCUUAUAUGUAUCCGAGAGAGGAGAGUAAGUUAGAAGAGAAAGGGAGCGUCUAUGUACUUAAGGAGAAAUUGGGAGCCGAGAGUAAGAGAGAAGAGGAAGAGGAGAGACCGAGAGCUGAAGGAAGAGAGAGAAAGCGUCUAUGUCCUUAUAUGUAUCCGAGAGAGGAGAGUAAGUUAGAAGAGAGAAAUGGAGAGACAAGGAGAAGCGGGAGAGAAACUGAAGAGACAGAAGAGAGUAAUGGAGAGACAAAGAGAAGCGGGAGAGAAACUGAAGAGAUAGGGAGAGAAGGAAGAAAUAUAGAGAGAAUUUAUAUAUUUGAAAGAGGGGAGUAAGAUAGAAUGAGAGCUAUGAAGAGACAAGGAGAAGCGUGAGUGAGAGAAACUGAAGAGACAGACAGAGAGAGAGAGAGAGAGAGGGGAGAAUUCUAAGCGAAGCUAUUUGUACACACACACACACGCGUAUACAUACACACAUAUACACAUGUGUGCACAUGCACAUAUAUAAACAGUAGUACCAAGUGAGUAUAUAAAGAAACAAUAAUAAUAAUAAUGAAAUAGCUGAAAGAAAACAAUCCAAGAGAUUUUACAGAAUUUAAGCAGAGAAAAAGAGAAAAGAAAAUAUGUAUUUGUCGCUACAGACAAUGUAUUCUAAAAUAAAAACUAAUUGCGACUAUACUUUUAACACACACAUAUACAUACACAUAGAGAUUUUACA